GCAUAUCAAUAAGCGGAGGAAAAGAAACCAACCGGGAUUGCCUCAGUAACGGCGAGUGAAGCGGCAAAAGCUCAAAUUUGGAAUCUGGCCCCCUCGGGGCCCGAGUUGUAAUUUGAAGACUCUAUCUUGGGACGCGGCGCCGUCGAAGUUCCUUGGAACAGGACGUCACAGAGGGUGAGAAUCCCGUGCGAUGGCAGCCGAAUACCGUGUAAGUUAGUGUCGACGAGUCGAGUUGUUUGGGAAUGCAGCUCUAAGUGGGUGGUAAAUUCCAUCUAAAGCUAAAUAUUGGCGAGAGACCGAUAGCGAACAAGUACAGUGAUGGAAAGAUGAAAAGAACUUUGAAAAGAGAGUGAAAAAGUACGUGAAAUUGUUGAAAGGGAAGGGCUUGAGAUCAGACAUGCCUUCGGGCAGGCCAGCAUCAGCUGGGAGGAGCAGACAACCGCGCCGCAAAGUGGCCUCGUCUCGGCGAGGUGUUAUAGGCGGCGCCACUGUGUUCACUCUCGGCUGAGGACCGCGCUUCGGCAAGGAUGCUGGCGUAAUGAUCCCCAGCCGCCCGUCUUGAAACAC
rnacentral:rRNA from 2 species